rnacentral:rRNA from 1 species
CACAUGACUCUCGACAACGGAUAUCUUGGCUCUUACAUCGAUGAAGAACGUAGCAAAAUGCGAUACUUGGUGUGAAUUGCAGAAUCCCGUGAACCAUCGAGUUUUUGAACGCAAGUUGCGCCUGAUGCCUUCGGGCUGAUGGCACGUCUGCUUGGGCGUCACGA